UGUUAAAAAUUCUAUAUAUUUGUAUUGUUAAAAACUAGCGUGACUGACAGAGUGAUCAGGCAGUGCCAAGUAGUGUACCACGUGCAUAUCAUAUUGAUAUAUAAAGACUAAUUUUUAACUAUAAAAAUAAAUAAAAUUUUAAUA
rfam:Gossypium raimondii Chr04_contig_1400, whole genome shotgun sequence.